GAUGAACGCUAGCUACAGGCUUAACACAUGCAAGUCGAGGGGCUGCACAGUGUAGCAAUACAUGGGUGGCGACGGCGCACGGGUGCGUAACGCGUAUCCAACCUGCCCAUUACUCUGGGAUAGCCUUGCGAAAGUAAGAUUAAUACCGGAUGUUGUUAAAAACCCGCAUGAGUUUUUAACCAAAGAUUUAUUGGUAAUGGAUGGGGAUGCGUGACAUUAGGUAGUAGGUGAGGUAACGGCUCACCUAGCCGACGAUGUCCAGGGGUUCUGAGAGGAAGGUCCCCCACACUGGAACUGAGACACGGUCCAGACUCCUACGGGAGGCAGCAGUGAGGAAUAUUGGUCAAUGGACGAGAGUCUGAACCAGCCAAGUAGCGUGCAGGAUGACGGCCCUCUGGGUUGUAAACUGCUUUUAGUUGGGAAUAAAAAGAGGGACGUGUCCCUAAUUGUAUGUACCAUCAGAAAAAGGACCGGCUAAUUCCGUG
rnacentral:rRNA from 1 species